GCCAGUAUGGCAUAAUGGUUUGAGUGUGGAGCUAUGAUUCUGGAGGCCAGGGUUCGAAUCCCUGCCAUGGAA